rnacentral:rRNA from 1 species
AUUGAACGCUGGCGGCAGGCCUAACACAUGCAAGUCGAACGGAGCGGCGGACGGGUGAGUAAUGCCUAGGAAUCUGCCUGGUAGUGGGGGAUACCGUCCUGCAACGGGCGCUAAUACCUCCUACUAUCAGACGAGCCUAGCUGGGAUUAGCUAGUUGGUGGGGUAAUGGCCUACCAAGGCGACGAUCCGUAGCUGGUCUGAGAGGAUGAUCAGUCACACUGGAACUGAGACACGGUCCAGACUCCUACGGGAGGCAGCAGUGGGGAAUAUUGGACAAUGGGCGAAAGCCUGAUUCAGCCAUGCCGCGUGUGUGAAGAAGGCCUUCGGAUUGUAAAGCACUUUAAGUUGGGAGGCGUUACCAACAGAAUAAGCACCGGCUAACUCCGUGCCAGCAGCCGCGGUAAUUC